rnacentral:rRNA from 1 species
AGCGAACGCUGGCGGCAGGCCUAAUACAUGCAAGUCGAACGGCUUCUUCGGAAGCAGUGGCGGACGGGUGAGUAACGCGUGGGAACGUGCCCUUUGGUACGGAACAACUGAGGGAAACUUCAGCUAAUACCGUAUGUGCCCUUCGGGGAAAGGAUUUAUCGCCAUUGGAGCGGCCCGCGUUAGAUUAGCUAGUUGGUGGGGUAAAGGCCUACCAAGGCAACGAUCUAUAGCUGGUCUGAGAGGAUGAUCAGCCACACUGGGACUGAGACACGGCCCAGACUCCUACGGGAGGCAGCAGUAGGGAAUCUUGCGCAAUGGGCGAAAGCCUGACGCAACCAUGCCGCGUGAAUGAUGAAGGUCUUAGGAUUGUAAAUUCUUUCACCGGGACGAUAAUGACGGUACCCGGAGAAGAAGCUCCGGCUAACUUCGUGCCAGCAGCCGCGGUAAAGUCUGUACU